rnacentral:rRNA from 1 species
GGCUUAGAGUUUGAUCAUGGCUCAGGAUAAACGCUGGCGGCGCACAUAAGACAUGCAAGUCGAACGGAAGUUGUUAUAAAUGAAUUGAAGAUUUAUCUGAUUGAAAUUUAUAACAAUGGCUUUAGUGGCGGACUGGUGAGUAACGCGUAAGGAAUCUACCUAUUAGAGGGGAAUAACAAUGAGAAAUCAUUGCUAAUACCGCAUAUGCCAUAGUGAAGGCAUCUUCAUAGUGGGAAAGGAGCAAUUCGCUAAUAGAUGAUCUUGCGUCUGAUUAGUUAGUUGGUGGGGUAACGGCCUACCAAGACGACGAUCAGUAGCCGGACUGAGAGGUUGAACGGCCACAUUGGGACUGAGAUACGGCCCAGACUCCUACGGGAGGCAGCAGUCGGGAAUAUUGCGCAAUGGAGGAAACUCUGACGCAGUGACGCCGCGUAUAGGAAGAAGGUUUUCGGAUUGUAAACUAUUGUCGUUAGGGAAGAAAAAAGACAGUACCUAAGGAGGAAGCUCCGGCUAACUACGUGCCAGCAGCCGCGGUAAUACGUAGGGAGCAAGCGUUAUCCGGAUUUAUUGGGUGUAAAGGGUGCGUAGACGGGUAAUCAAGUUAGUUGUGAAAUCCCUUGGCUUAACUGAGGAACUGCAACUAAAACUGAUUAUCUUGAGUACAGGAGAGGUAAGUGGAAUUCCUAGUGUAGCGGUGAAAUGCGUAGAUAUUAGGAGGAACACCAGUGGCGAAGGCGACUUACUGGACUGAAACUGACGUUGAGGCACGAAAGUGUGGGGAGCAAACAGGAUUAGAUACCCUGGUAGUCCACACUNGUAACGAUGGAUACUAGGUGUAGGAAAUAUUAAGUUUUCUGUGCCCGUCGCAACGCAGUAG